UACGUAGGGUGCAAGCGUUUGUCCGGAAUUAUUGGGCGUAAAGAGCUCGUAGGCGGUUCGUCGCGUCGGCUGUGAAAACCCGGAGCUCAACUCCGGGCCUGCAGUCGAUACGGGCGGACUGGAGUUCGGCAGGGGAGACUGGAAUUCCUGGUGUAGCGGUGAAAUGCGCAGAUAUCAGGAGGAACACCGGUGGCGAAGGCGGGUCUCUGGGCCGAUACUGACGCUGAGGAGCGAAAGCCAGGGGAGCAAACGGG
rnacentral:rRNA from 1 species